rnacentral:rRNA from 1 species
CCUACGGGCGGCAGCAGUGAGGAAUAUUGGUCAAUGGACGAGCGUCUGAACCAGCCAUGUAGCGUGAAGGAUGACUGCCCUAUGGGUUGUAAACUUCUUUUAUAUGGGAAUAAAAUGUUCCACGUGUGGGAUUUUGUAUGUACCAUAUGAAUAAGGAUCGGUUAACCCCGUGCCAGCAGCCGCGGUAAUACGGAGGAUACGAGCGUUAUCCGGAUGUAUUGGGGUUAAAGGGAGCGUAGGUGGAUUGUUAAGUCAGUUGUGAAAGUUUGCGGCUCAACCGUAAAAUUGCAGUUGAAACUGGCAGUCUUGAGUACAGUAGAGGUGGGCGGAAUGCGUGGUGUAGCGGUGAAAUGCUUAGAUAUCACGAAGAACUCCGAUUGCGAAGGCAGUUCACUGGACUGCAACUGACACUGAGGCUCGAAAGUGUGGGUAUCAAACAGGAUUAGAUACCCUGGUAGUC